AAAUUGAAGAGUUUGAUCAUGGCUCAGAUUGAACGCUGGCGGCAGGCCUAACACAUGCAAGUCGAGCGGUAGCACAGAGAGCUUGCUCUCGGGUGACGAGCGGCGGACGGGUGAGUAAUGUCUGGGAAACUGCCUGAUGGAGGGGGAUAACUACUGGAAACGGUAGCUAAUACCGCAUAAUGUCGCAAGACCAAAGUGGGGGACCUUCGGGCCUCAUGCCAUCAGAUGUGCCCAGAUGGGAUUAGCUAGUAGGUGGGGUAACGGCUCACCUAGGCGACGAUCCCUAGCUGGUCUGAGAGGAUGACCAGCCACACUGGAACUGAGACACGGUCCAGACUCCUACGGGAGGCAGCAGUGGGGAAUAUUGCACAAUGGGCGCAAGCCUGAUGCAGCCAUGCCGCGUGUGUGAAGAAGGCCUUCGGGUUGUAAAGCACUUUCAGCGGGGAGGAAGGCGUUAAGGUUAAUAACCUUGGCGAUUGACGUUACCCGCAGAAGAAGCACCGGCUAACUCCGUGCCAGCAGCCGCGGUAAUACGGAGGGUGCAAGCGUUAAUCGGAAUUACUGGGCGUAAAGCGCACGCAGGCGGUCUGUCAAGUCGGAUGUGAAAUCCCCGGGCUCAACCUGGGAACUGCAUUCGAAACUGGCAGGCUAGAGUCUUGUAGAGGGGGGUAGAAUUCCAGGUGUAGCGGUGAAAUGCGUAGAGAUCUGGAGGAAUACCGGUGGCGAAGGCGGCCCCCUGGACAAAGACUGACGCUCAGGUGCGAAAGCGUGGGGAGCAAACAGGAUUAGAUACCCUGGUAGUCCACGCCGUAAACGAUGUCGAUUUGGAGGUUGUGCCCUUGAGGCGUGGCUUCCGGAGCUAACGCGUUAAAUCGACCGCCUGGGGAGUACGGCCGCAAGGUUAAAACUCAAAUGAAUUGACGGGGGCCCGCACAAGCGGUGGAGCAUGUGGUUUAAUUCGAUGCAACGCGAAGAACCUUACCUGGUCUUGACAUCCACAGAACUUUCCAGAGAUGGAUUGGUGCCUUCGGGAACUGUGAGACAGGUGCUGCAUGGCUGUCGUCAGCUCGUGUUGUGAAAUGUUGGGUUAAGUCCCGCAACGAGCGCAACCCUUAUCCUUUGUUGCCAGCGGUCCGGCCGGGAACUCAAAGGAGACUGCCAGUGAUAAACUGGAGGAAGGUGGGGAUGACGUCAAGUCAUCAUGGCCCUUACGACCAGGGCUACACACGUGCUACAAUGGCGCAUACAAAGAGAAGCGACCUCGCGAGAGCAAGCGGACCUCAUAAAGUGCGUCGUAGUCCGGAUUGGAGUCUGCAACUCGACUCCAUGAAGUCGGAAUCGCUAGUAAUCGUGGAUCAGAAUGCCACGGUGAAUACGUUCCCGGGCCUUGUACACACCGCCCGUCACACCAUGGGAGUGGGUUGCAAAAGAAGUAGGUAGCUUAACCUUCGGGAGGGCGCUUACCACUUUGUGAUUCAUGACUGGGGUGAAGUCGUAACAAGGUAACCGUAGGGGAACCUGCGGUUGGAUCACCUCCUUA
rnacentral:rRNA from 1 species